GCCCAGGUGGUGAAAUUGGUAGACACGCUAUCUUGAGGGGGUAGUGCGCGAGCGUGCGGGUUCGAGUCCCGCCCUGGGCACCA
rnacentral:tRNA from 1 species